CACGUAGGGCGCAAGCGUUGUCCGGAAUUAUUGGGCGUAAAGAGCUCGUAGGCGGUCUGUUGCGUCCGCUGUGAAAACUCGGGGCUUAACCCCGAGCCUGCAGUGGAUACGGGCAGACUAGAGGUAGGUAGGGGAGAAUGGAAUUCCCGGUGUAGCGGUGAAAUGCGCAGAUAUCGGGAGGAACACCGGUGGCGAAGGCGACUUCCUGGCCUGUUCUUGACGCUGAGGCGCGAAAGCUAGGGUAGCAAACGGG
rnacentral:rRNA from 1 species